rnacentral:rRNA from 1 species
GAGUUCUGGGUUUACCGGCUGCGGUGUUUUAACUGAACGAAGGUAGCAUAAUCAUUUGUCUUUUAAUUGAAGGCUAGUAUGAAUGGUUUGAUGAAAAAUAAACUUUCUUUUUUUAAUUGUUUUGAAUUUAAUUUUUUAGUUAAAAAGCUAAAAUUUAUUUAUAGGACGAGAAGACCCUAUAGAAGUUAACUUUAUUUAUUAAUUUUUAUUUUUUGUUAAUUAAAUAAUUUUUUAGAAUAUAAAGUUUUGUUGGGGUGACAUUGAAAUUUAUUUAACUUUUAAUAUUUUUGUUCAUUAAUUUAUGUUUUUUUGAUCCAAAAUUUUUGAUUAUAAGAUUAACUUACCUUAGGGAUAACAGCGUAAUUUUUUCGGAGAGUUCAUAUCGAUGAAAAAGUUUGCGACCUCGAUGUUGAAUUAAGAUAAGAUUUGGGCGUAAAAUUUCAAUUUUCUUGGUC